UACAGCUUUAUUAGAAAAGGCAGUUGAGUAAAAUAAUAACUUAAUAAUCGGAAGUGGUUUGAACAAUAUUACAGUUUCUCCCCCUUGUAUGGCCCAACUGCUCAACCACAGCCACUGCUUACAAAGACCAACAGUGAAACCGUAAUGCAAAGAUGCAAAAUCUCAUUUAAAUGGUCAUGCUUGAAAAACCUUGUCACUGCUAUUUUAGUUCAAAACAAAGGGCUCUCUCUGUGUUAUUUUGAAAGGCCAGAUUUCAGCAAGGACAGAUAAAAAUUAUUCAGAAUUGUGAUCCUCUGGCCCAUCAACACUGAGGAUGGAAACGAGGCUUUGUGACAGUGACAGAAAUAAAUAACAGAUCUCCAAGAGGUUUUGACGUAAGAUUUCAGGAGGUAGCACUUUAUGCCCAGAAGAAUUGCACUCAGUAUAUACCAUCUCACGCCUGAUUGACCUGAAGAAUAUCUUGUCAAGGUAGGGAGAAAACCAGUACUAAGCUGGCAUUUAACUGGCACAGGGAUUAAUGCCCAUAUUUCUAGCAGGAGUGCCAGACUAUCCUAAGUGCAUGCAAAGGCUAGCAAGCUAUCUUGAGGCUAAAUAAUAACAAUAAUAUCAACAAUAAUAAUUAUCAUAAUAAUAAUCCCACCAGCAGCUGCACGUCAGACCAAGUGGCCAAAUGUUUUGAAAAAUCAAUUGAGAUUUUGUAGGCGGGGGCGGAACGCAUCAGUGCAUCAACAACCCUGUCCACAGCCAUGCAUUGCAACUGGGUGAUCAUUAAGGUCCCUUCCAACCUACACCAUUCUAUGAUUCUACGGUCUUUAAGAUCCCUUCCAAUCCAAUUCAUCCUAUGAUUCAGUGGUCUUUAAGAUCCCUUCCAAUCCAGUUCAUCCUAUGAUUCUGUGGUCUUUAACGUCCCUUCCAACACAAUUCAUUCUAUGAUGUUGUGGUCUUUAAGGUCCCUUCCAAUCCAAUUCAUUCUAUGAUUCUCUGAUUCUAACUCCUCAGCAUGCCAUGCUCAGCCCAGUGCUGCGUGCGGUUUCUUGCUGGGAGCUGGGCGUUCCGCUUUCAGCCUGCACAGUUGGUUCUUGCACUUGUGAACUUGAGGAUCCGAUUACAGGAUGAAACCGGGCUUUGAACUUCUUGUGGUAUUUUCCAGCUGGGGCCUCAGCAAACCACAUCGAUGUCUUCUGAAACUGAGUGUUUUGUGAUGGAGAUAAAUAUAAUCCUGGCUUUACAGCUGGGAUGGUGAGCAGAGAGUGGAGGGCUUUUGCAUAGGGCUGAGUCACCUGGAGUCUGAUUUGAAUAAAUGAGAUGAAACCAGCCAGAUGUGCAGGCUGCUGUGUGUAGCAGGUGUGACCCAAAUCCAGUCUGUGCCUUUGCCAUGCAUCUUCUUCCCUGGUAUUAUCUCCCUACCAUUGGUCCCUGAUAUGCAUAAAAUCAAACAGUAAGUCCUUUUGGGGAAAAGAUUGUAUACAUCUUUUUAUUGCUUAGGGAAAGGUGCCAGCAUGGUCUUAGUGCUGUGUACGUGGACAAGAACAAAUGCAAGCAUAACAUUUUCUGCAAGCUUUGCUCUGUUUUUCUGUAUGGAAUGAAGAAUUUACCAUAAAUUGUGAAAAAUCUCCCCAUUAGCAGCAUUUCAUUGAUUGCCAAAGAGAAACUUCAGAUUCAUACAUCUUUUAGGCAGUCAUCGCUACUUUCUCCAAACCUGUUCAAAGUCCAUGAGACAUCCUUAGAGCCCAUCCACUGCUUGGAUGUCCUUUUGCAUCUAGUCUUACUGGGGCUCUGGAAUCAUAACUUCUCAUGGUUCUCUGCCGUUAUGCCUGUGGACAUUUCCU
ensembl:lncRNA